UACGGAGGGUGCAAGCGUUGUUCGGAAUCACUGGGCGUAAAGCGCGUGUAGGCGGCUUCUCAGUCUGGUGUGAAAGCCCGGGGCUCACCCCCGGAAGUGCAUUGGAUACUGGAAGGCUGGAGUACCGGAGAGGAGGGUGGAAUUCCUGGUGUAGCGGUGAAAUGCGCAGAUAUCAGGAGGAACACCGGUGGCGAAGGCGGGUCUCUGGGCCGAUACUGACGCUGAGGAGCGAAAGCGUGGGGAGCAAACAGG
rnacentral:rRNA from 1 species